CCUGCUAAGGCAUAUGGCCCUGCAAUCGGAUGCUCGCGAAGUGAUCGUGUGCGGCUCGUCUGACCGAACGUGCUGCGCUGAGUUAGAUACUCGUGAAGAAAGCGUGUGCCCCCACCUCUCACUGUCGCAAAGCCGCGUUAUUCAGGACGCAAUAAAGCCGAGUCGCCACUACGCCUGUUGCCAAGUGCUGGGAAGGAAGCCCUGCGCCGAGUAGGAUACUCGCGAAAGAAGCGUGUGCGCCCACCUCCCACUGAACGAACGCCCUACGCCGAGUUGGAUACUCAUGAAGAAAGCGUGUGCCCCACCUUUCACUGCCGAGUCGCAAAGCCGCGCCGUUCAGGAUGCAUUGAAGCCGAGUCGACUGACUACGCCUGAUACACCUAGGCCUGCUGCGAAAAACGCCGCACCGGAGAUUACUGAACUCCACUUGGGAACUUGGUGGUGACAAGUGGUGUUCUGGUACCGUUUUAUACAUUGAGUGAUGUGGGCCGACAGCACUGAGGACCAACCCAUCACAUCUAGUGGUGACCUGCAGGUUACGGCAUUGAAAUCACGGCUGCGGUGGCAGUCUCGAUGCAGCACAUUGGAAUGAAAGAAAAAGGAUGAGUGCACUAUACAAUGGGACGGCGUGUCAUAACGCAAAAUAGCUCAAUCGGCCGCUAUCAAGCAAGGUAU